AUGGCGGACCUGGAGGCCGUGCUGGCCGACGUCAGCUACUUGAUGGCGAUGGAGAAGAGCAAGUCGACCCCUGCCGCCAGAGCCAGCAAGAAGAUCAUCCUGCCAGAGCCCAGCAUACGCAGCGUGAUGCAGAAAUAUCUGGAGGAGCGCGACGAGCUCACCUUCGACAAGAUCUUCAACCAAAAGAUUGGCUUCCUCCUAUUCAAGGACUUUUGCAUGAACGAGAUCGACGAGGCCGUCCCACAGCUCAAGUUCUACGAGGAAAUAAAAGACUAUGAAAAGCUGGACUCGGAGGAGGAAAGACUCAGUCGCAGUCGGCAGAUCUAUGACGGAUACAUCAUGAAGGAGCUGCUAUCGUGUUCACAUCCGUUCUCCAAAAAAGCCGUGGACCAUGUCCAGAGUCAUCUGGCCAAGAAGCUGGUGCCCCCAACCCUCUUCCAGCCCUACAUCGUGGAGAUCUGCGACAGCCUACGAGGGAAGAUCUUCCUUAAGUUCAUCGAAAGCGACAAAUUCACAAGAUUUUGCCAGUGGAAGAAUGUGGAGCUCAACAUCCACCUGACGAUGAACGACUUCAGCGUCCACCGCAUUAUCGGCCGCGGCGGCUUCGGCGAAGUUUACGGAUGCAGGAAGGCUGACACGGGAAAGAUGUACGCCAUGAAGUGUCUGGACAAGAAGCGCAUCAAGAUGAAGCAGGGCGAGACGCUGGCGCUCAACGAGAGGAUCAUGCUUUCGCUCGUCAGCACCGGGGAUUGCCCGUUCAUCGUGUGCAUGACGUACGCCUUCCACACGCCUGACAAGCUCUGCUUCAUAUUGGACCUCAUGAAUGGCGGCGACCUGCACUACCACCUGUCUCAGCACGGCGUGUUCAGUGAGAAGGAAAUGCGCUUCUAUGCCGCCGAGAUCAUCCUGGGCCUGGAGCAUAUGCACAACCGCUUCGUCGUCUACAGGGACCUCAAGCCCGCCAACAUCCUGCUAGACGAGCACGGACACGUUCGCAUCUCUGACCUGGGCCUCGCCUGCGACUUCUCCAAGAAGAAACCGCACGCCAGUGUGGGCACCCACGGCUACAUGGCCCCAGAGGUUCUGCAGAAGGGGACGGCGUACGACAGCAGCGCCGACUGGUUCUCGCUGGGGUGCAUGCUCUUCAAGCUGCUUCGGGGGCACAGCCCGUUCAGGCAGCACAAGACCAAAGACAAACACGAGAUUGACAGGAUGACGCUGACCAUGAACGUGGAGCUCCCCGAUUCGUUCACGGCGGAACUGAAGGAACUUCUCGAAGGGCUCCUGCAGCGCGACGUCUCCAAGAGGCUGGGCUGCCAGGGACGAGGAGCGGUGGAGGUCAAGGGGCAUCCCUUCUUCACGGGCAUGGACUGGCAGCAGGUCUACCUGCAGAAGUACUCGCCGCCGCUCAUCCCGCCCAGAGGGGAAGUCAACGCCGCCGACGCCUUCGACAUCGGCUCCUUUGAUGAGGAGGACACCAAGGGCAUCAAGCUCCUGGACAGCGACCAGGAGCUGUACAAGAACUUCCCGCUGGUGAUUUCCGAGCGUUGGCAACAAGAAGUGGCCGAGACCGUCUAUGGCGCCGUGAACUUGGACACGGACAAAAAUGAGGCCCGCAAGAGGGCCAAAAACAAACAACUGGGCCACGAGGAAGACUACGCGCUGGGCAAGGAUUGCAUCAUGCAUGGCUACAUGCUGAAGCUGGGGAACCCCUUCCUCACGCAGUGGCAGCGGCGCUACUUUUACCUCUUCCCCAACCGAGUCGAGUGGCGGGGAGAGGGCGAGUCACGGGAAACAUGGUUGGCGAAACAUUUGACGCAGCUCAAAGACUCGCUCCUCAAAGUCAGAGUUUGACUUCUCGCAUCUCAUGGGAUAACAGGGCUGAUCUGCUCGUCCCAAGACUGUAGUGUUAAGUCAUCAGGUCCAGGUGUCCAGCGUGGGUCGAGAUCUACAGUGAGACCCAAGUUCUGAAGUCCUAUGACCCAACACUAUAGUGUUAGCCAUGUGCUCCCAAAUCUUCAAUGAGACCCAAGUCUCCUAUCCCGAGUCCUCAGGUCAAGGUGCCUUGCCCCAAAUCUUCAGUGACACUGAAGUCCCAGGUCUGUGGUCUAGGACCGUAGUGUCAAGUUAUCAGGUCCAGGUGUCUAGUCGCAAGUAACCAAGCUCAAACGGGUCCCCGAGUCCUGAACGGCGGUCCGUGUGAUGUCACAGCAAAACCUUCUGACGAUGGAGCAAAUCGUCUCGGUGGAGGAAACGCAGAUUAAAGACAAGAAGUGCAUUCUGCUGCGCAUCAAAGGAGGGAAGCAGUUUGUGCUGC